rnacentral:rRNA from 1 species
UACGGAGGGGGCGAGCGUUAUUCGGAAUUAUUGGGCGUAAAGCGCGCGCAGGCGGUCCUUUAAGUCUGAUGUGAAAGCCCACGGCUCAACCGUGGAGGGUCAUUGGAAACUGGGGGACUUGAGUGCAGAAGAGGAGAGUGGAAUUCCACGUGUAGCGGUGAAAUGCGUAGAGAUGUGGAGGAACACCAGUGGCGAAGGCGACUCUCUGGUCUGUAACUGACGCUGAGGCGCGAAAGCGUGGGGAGCAAACAGG